CAGCAGUCGAGAAUAUUCCACAAUGGGCGAAAGCCUGAUGGAGCGACGCCGCGUGGAGGAAGAAGACCUUCGGGUUGUAAACUCCUUUUAACCGGGAAGAAGGAUAGUCACGUGUGACUAUCAUUGACGGUCCCAGUUGAAUGAGAGGUUUCUAACUCUGUG
rnacentral:rRNA from 1 species